rnacentral:rRNA from 1 species
AGUGAAGCGGGAUGAGCUCAAAUUUGAAAUCUGGCUGGUUUACUAGUCCGAGUUGUAAUUUAAAGAAGCGUUUUCGGUGGCAGCCUGGGUAUAAAUCCUUUGGAAUAGGGUAUCAUAGAGGGUGAGAAUCCCGUCUUUGACCUAGUGCAUGCUACUAUGUGAUACGUUUUCAAAGAGUCGAGUUGUUUGGGAAUGCAGCUCAAAAUGGGUGGUAAAUUUCAUCUAAAGCUAAAUAUUGGCGAGAGACCGAUAGCGAACAAGUACCGUGAGGGAAAGAUGAAAAGAACUUUGAAAAGAGAGUUAAACAGUGCGUGAAAUUGUUGAAAGGGAAACGCUUGACACCAGUCAUGUGGGUGGAAAAUCAGUCUUUUGCAUUGGGGAGUUGUAAGGGUUCGGACCGCAAGGCCGGCUUUUGCUUCAUCUUUGGUGUAAGUGAUGCACUUUUUCAUCUACAGGUCAACAUCAGUUUCUUUUACUGGACAAAACUCCGAGAGAAGGUAGCAGCUUAGGCUGUGUUAUAGCUCUGGAGCGAUACAGUGAAGGGGACUGAGGUUUUCGCAGCGUGUGCUCUCGGGCAAGGCUGGAUGGGUGCUAUGGAAUCGUUCGGGGUACAAUGCCUGGCAUUUUGCUUCGUGUCUUUUCUAUACUCGCUCAACUCAGCUCUUCCACGCUUAGGAUGUUGACUUAAUGGUUUUAAUCGACCCGUCUUGAAACACGGACCAAGGAGUCUAACAUAUAUGCAAGUGUUUGGGUGGCAAACCCAUGCGCGUAAUGAAAGUGAACGUAGGUGCGAUCCGCAAGGUGCAGCAUCGACCGAUCUUGAUAUUUUUGGAUAGAUUUGAGUAAGAGCAUAUAUGCUGGGACCCGAAAGAUGGUGAACUAUGCCUGAAUAGGGUGAAGCCAGAGGAAAACUCUGGUGGAGGCUCGUAGCGAUUCUGACGUGCAAAUCGAUCGUCAAAUUUGGGUAUAGGGGCGAAAGACUA